rnacentral:rRNA from 1 species
AUGGCGAAGCUUAGGCCGUCCGGUUUCGUCCCCACUUCUCCCCCCUUUUCUUGCUGUAAUAAAUCCCAAUAUGGUGCGCCAGGUGCUCUUCUUCCUCGAUCUGUUCUUACCACCAUGGUUGUGGGAAGAGAGAUAGAGCAGCAGGAGAUGUACAUGCCUACCACUUGCAGGAGGCCUCGUUGCUACCUUCCUCCACUUGAUGCUGCCAAGGUGGUGGAUGAAGAGGGGUGGGGAAGCACUGAGCUGAAGAUUGAUGGUCGGGUUCGAGCUCAUCAGCAGAGGAUUCUAUGGUGGAGCUACGGCGCCUGCAGUCGGCUGCCGGUCUUCAUCGACCCUCUGCUUCUUCUGGUCGAAGGGCGGCCAACCCCUUUCCUCCUGGCUUGCAUGCCUUAUGGGAGGCAGUUCCAGUUUUCGUUCAGAGGCUCUGGGAUGCACGUGCUGCACCCAUGGCGAUCUCGUCGCCCCAAGUGGUUCGUCCCCGGCGACGGCGAGGUUCAAUCUGAGCGAAGGCUGCCAAGGACCCGAUUGCGUUUUAAUCUUUCAGUUAGGGGUUCUCCAUGCAAAAGUCUGGGACUUUGUUGUAAUCUUUCUUUUUCUUUCGGUCCUGAUGUAAAGUGUGCUUUGAAGCUUAUCUAA